GACAGAGGGUGCAAACGUUGUUCGGAAUUACUGGCGUAAAGCGAGUGUAGGCGGUUUGGAAAGUCGGAUGUGAAAGCCCCGGGCUCAACCCGGGAAGUGCACUCGAUACUCCCAGCUAGAGUAUCGGAGAGGUUGGCGGAAUUCUCGGUGUAGAGGUGAAAUUCGUAGAUAUCGAGAGGAACACCGGCGGCGAAGGCGGCCAACUGGACGAAUACUGACGCUGAGACUCGAAAGCGUGGGGAGCGAACAGG
rnacentral:rRNA from 1 species